rnacentral:rRNA from 1 species
UACGGGGGGAGCAAGCGUUGUUCGGAUUUACUGGGCGUAAAGGGCGCGUAGGCGGUCAGCACAAGUCAGUUGUGAAAUCUCCGAGCUUAACUCGGAAAGGUCAACUGAUACUGUGCGACUAGAGUGCAGAAGGGGCAACUGGAAUUCUUGGUGUAGCGGUGAAAUGCGCAGAUAUCGGGAAGAACACCCGUGGCGAAGGCGGCUCUCUGGGACGGUACUGACGCUGAGACGCGAAAGCGUGGGGAGCGAACAGG